rnacentral:rRNA from 1 species
GUCGAGCGGACAGAUGGGAGCUUGCUCCCUGAUGUUAGCGGCGGACGGGUGAGUAACACGUGGGUAACCUGCCUGUAAGACUGGGAUAACUCCGGGAAACCGGGGCUAAUACCGGAUGCUUGUUUGAACCGCAUGGUUCAAACAUAAAAGGUGGCUUCGGCUACCACUUACAGAUGGACCCGCGGCGCAUUAGCUAGUUGGUGAGGUAAUGGCUCACCAAGGCGACGAUGCGUAGCCGACCUGAGAGGGUGAUCGGCCACACUGGGACUGAGACACGGCCCAGACUCCUACGGGAGGCAGCAGUAGGGAAUCUUCCGCAAUGGACGAAAGUCUGACGGAGCAACGCCGCGUGAGUGAUGAAGGUUUUCGGAUCGUAAAGCUCUGUUGUUAGGGAAGAACAAGUACCGUUCGAAUAGGGCGGUACCUUGACGGUACCUAACCAGAAAGCCACGGCUAACUACGUGCCAGCAGCCGCGGUAAUACGUAGGUGGCAAGCGUUGUCCGGAAUUAUUGGGCGUAAAGGGCUCGCAGGCGGUUUCUUAAGUCUGAUGUGAAAGCCCCCGGCUCAACCGGGGAGGGUCAUUGGAAACUGGGGAACUUGAGUGCAGAAGAGGAGAGUGGAAUUCCACGUGUAGCGGUGAAAUGCGUAGAGAUGUGGAGGAACACCAGUGGCGAAGGCGACUCUCUGGUCUGUAACUGACGCUGAGGAGCGAAAGCGUGGGGAGCGAACAGGAUUAGAUACCCUGGUAGUCCACGCCGUAAACGAUGAGUGCUAAGUGUUAGGGGGUUUCCGCCCCUUAGUGCUGCAGCUAACGCAUUAAGCACUCCGCCUGGGGAGUACGGUCGCAAGACUGA